CAUGCGCGGAUGUAAUGUUUAAACUGAUGAUAGAGAUUGCAUCGAAUACAUAUUCACAAAACGAAGUAGAUGUCUAGUAUGAUAUAAUUCAUUGUAUCGAUGGAAGACAAAAUUAGGAAAAAUAUGAAAAAAAUCACGAUAAAUCCGCAAAACUCGGGUUUCAUUUUGUAUAACGUCGGGGUACCCGAAUCGCCUAGUUCGGAGGAUUGUUUCCGAUCAUAGCAGAUAAACUGUUGAAACAUCAUUGUUCGUUUUUAUUUUUGAACAAGUAGACUACACAAGUAUUUUUUACACAUACAUGUAGCAUGUAUACACUUACUGAUUUUUUGCCAGCAACGACAAGGGUAGCGUGAAUCCGGGAUUUUGGAGGGGAACCCAAAUUGCCCAGGCAUGCAGUGGAUAGACUAUACGAGACUUAAGUGCACAAACUUUUUCCGUCUUUUUGAAAAAGCCAAAAACACUUUUCUCUCAUCCCCACAAAAACAAAUCCCAUCAGCAUUGACAGUAAAAUAAAAGGGGUGUCAAUCUGGACACACUGGGACGUUGCACACGGUGAUAUUGCGGCACCCUGGCCAAGAUUUACAGUAAAUGGGAAAACUUUAAAAAAGGACAUUUUGUAUAAAUGAAUAAACCUAGUUUUACAGCUAGCUGCGUAUUUCAUUUGUAUGCAAGUUGCAUUAAAUCUCAUUAAACUGAAUAAAACUUAAAGACACAAUAGGUAAAAGUCAGUGACAAUAAAAGGAAAAGAGCAGUCAACAUAGUGUAACAAUUCGACAUAGUAUAUAAAAAUAUAAAUAACUACGUAGGACAACAGGGUAAUUUAAUAGUCUAACAACCCCUGAUAACAUACAAAGAGAGAAAAAAAAAACAUACUAGGAUACAUAUUCAAAAAAUCAUAACACUAUAACUAACUGGUGGGAUGUAUAAAUACCGAGCCGCGUCAAAGAGUAUUCAUCAAAAUACACAUAGAAAGAAACAGAGGUGAAGGUAAACCUCAAAC
rnacentral:lncRNA from 1 species